rnacentral:rRNA from 1 species
AACGAACGCUGGCGGCAGGCCUAACACAUGCAAGUCGAGCGGACCCUUCGGGGUUAGCGGCGGACGGGUGAGUAACGCGUGGGAAUAUGCCCUUCUCUACGGAAUAGUCCUGGGAAACUGGGGGUAAUACCGUAUACGCCCUUUGGGGGAAAGAUUUAUCGGGGAAGGAUUAGCCCGCGUUGGAUUAGGUAGUUGGUGGGGUAAUGGCCUACCACGCCGACGAUCCAUAGCUGGUUUGAGAGGAUGAUCAGCCACACUGGGACUGAGACGCGGCCCAGACUCCUACGGGAGGCAGCAGUGGGGAAUCGUAGACAAUGGGGGCAACCCUGAUGGAGCCAUGCCGCGUGAGUGAUGAAGGCAUUAGGGUUGUAAAGCUCUUUCAGCUGGGAAGAUAAUGACGGUACCAGCAGAAGAAGCCCCGGCUAACUCCGUG